rnacentral:lncRNA from 1 species
CCGCCGCCGCCGCUGCCGUUGCGCUCCAGGUCUGCAAACAGCGAGCUGGGCAUCGCUCCGCCGUGCGCGCCGCGCCCCAGCCGGCUCUCUGCUCGGCAGCUAGAAGGUGCAGCCACAAAGGCAGCCGGGAAGCGGGUAGUCAGGGGCGGGGAGGCCGGUCGGCUGCGGAGGGCUCCGUGGCUCGUUUUUCGGCGCCUGGAGGAGUGGGUCUCUGCGUGCAGUCCGCACCGGGCAGUGGCUGCAAGAGCCCCCGCCUGGGUCCCCACCCCAGAUCUGCUGGCGGUUGGGGUGGGGGCAGAGCUCGAGCGGCGGCCG